UACAGAGACUGCAAGCGUUAUUCGGAUUCACUGGGCGUAAAGGGUGCGCAGGCGGGUGGGUGAGUCAGAUGUGAAAUCCCGAGGCUUAACCUCGGAACUGCGUCUGAAACUACUCGACUAGAGUACUGGAGAGGGUAACGGAAUUCACGGUGUAGCAGUGAAAUGCGUAGAUAUCGUGAGGAACACCAGAGGCGAAGGCGGUUACCUGGACAGUUACUGACGCUCAGGCACGAAAGCAUGGGGAGCGAACAGG
rnacentral:rRNA from 1 species